rnacentral:rRNA from 1 species
CAGCAGCCGCGGUAAUACGGGGGGGGGCAAGUGUUAUUCGGAAUGACUGGGCGUAAAGGGCUCGCAGGCGGUUUCUUAAGUCUGAUGUGAAAGCCCCCGGCUCAACCGGGGAGGGUCAUUGGAAACUGGGAAACUUGAGUGCAGAAGAGGAGAGUGGAAUUCCACGUGUAGCGGUGAAAUGCGUAGAGAUGUGGAGGAACACCAGUGGCGAAGGCGACUCUCUGGUCUGUAACUGACGCUGAGGAGCGAAAGCGUGGGGAGCGAACAGGAUUAGAUACCCCGGUAGUCCCUGUCUCUUAUA